rnacentral:rRNA from 1 species
AACGAACGCUGGCGGCAGGCCUCAAACAUGCAAGUCUAGGGGGUGUAGCAAUACAUCACCGGCGGACGGGUGCGUAACACGUGGGAAUAUACCUUUUGGUUCGGAACAACGCAGGGAAACUUGCGCUAAUACCGAAUGUGCCCUUACGGGGAAAGAUUUAUCGCCAAAGGAUUAGCCCGCGUAGGAUUAGCUAGUUGGUGAGGUAAUGGCUCACCAA